AUUUUUACUGUCCUAUUGGAUUUCCUCUUCGGUAAAUCCCUGGGCGUUGAUGAACAGGAUGAUCGCAAGAAUAACAGAGCCGUAUUCUUGUCAGUUGGGGAUUAUGGGUUUGUGUUCCUAGUCCCUGGGAUUUUCGGCUUCAUCGCCGCUUUUGUACAGAAGAAAGUUAUGUAUGUGACAGCAUUAAUUGUCGGCAUCCUGGCUAUGAUUGCAAGCGUUUUAAUUAUUGUAAACCCACUCGGUGAUGUCACAUUUGUUUUAUCAAUCCAAACAAAUUGCAACUCAAUUGAUGACUCCUGCGUCUGUAGCAUUGACGACAAAAGUACUCGCUCCAUUGACAAGCCGUGUGAAUACUUCAAGCAACAAACCCGGAUCUGUGUAGGGAUUCUCGCCACGUUCUUUCUCAC